rnacentral:rRNA from 1 species
CGGAAGACCAAGGGUUCCUGUCCAACGUUAAUCGGGGCAGGGUGAGUCGACCCCUAAGGCGAGGCCGAAAGGCGUAGUCGAUGGGAAACGGGUUAAUAUUCCCGUACUUGGUGUUACUGCGAAGGGGGGACGGAGAAGGCUAUGUUGGCCGGGCGACGGUUGUCCCGGUUUAAGCGUGUAGGUGUGUGUUCCAGGUAAAUCCGGUUCACUUUAACACUGAGGCGUGAUGACGAGGCACUACGGUGCUGAAGCAACAAAUGCCCUGCUUCCAGGAAAAGCCUCUAAGCAUCAGGUAACAUCAAAUCGUACCCCAAACCGACACAGGUGGUCAGGUAGAGAAUACCAAGGCGCUUGAGAGAACUCGGGUGAAGGAACUAGGCAAAAUGGUGCCGUAACUUCGGGAGAAGGCA